CCUACGGGCGGCUGCAGUGGGGAAUAUUGCACAAUGGGCGCAAGCCUGAUGCAGCCAUGCCGCGUGUGUGAAGAAGGCCUUCGGGUUGUAAAGCACUUUCAGCGGGGAGGAAGGCGUUAAGGUUAAUAACCUUGGCGAUUGACGUUACCCGCAGAAGAAGCACCGGCUAACUCCGUGCCAGCAGCCGCGGUAAUACGGAGGGGUGCAAGCGUUAAUCGGAAUUACUGGGCGUAAAGCGCACGCAGGCGGUCUGUCAAGUCGGAUGUGAAAUCCCCGGGCUCAACCUGGGAACUGCAUUCGAAACUGGGAGGCUAGAGGCGUGUAGAGGGGGGUAGAAUUCCAGGUGUAGCGGUGAAAUGCGGAGGGAUCUGGAGGAAUACCGGUGGCGAAGGCGGCCCCCUGGACAAAGACUGACGCUCAGGUGCGAAAGCGUGGGGAGCAAACAGGAUUAGAUACCCGAGUAGUC
rnacentral:rRNA from 1 species